AUGGUCGUUUCUGCUCGGGGGCCUACAGAGUAUAUCCGGGUGGCUCCAAAUUAUUGUGUUGGAGGAGCAAUGGCUCCUGGUCGAACCGCUCCAAGUGCAUCAGCGGAGGCGCGAAAAACACACGCGCGGCAUAAGUGGUUCAGCGCGGGGGUGAGACGGCAUCGCACGCCGUUUAUUUCGUGCGCCCACUCUCGCACGCUGCACACUCAAGCAACCGCGCUGCGACUUUCACCUACCCUCAAUUCAGGUGCCGUCGCCGCCGCCGCCGCCUGCACCACCUUAUUUGCUCCCGCGACCCGAUGGCGCUUCCCCGGUCUAUCCCUACGCCGCUGCUGCUUCCUCCGUGUCCCUCUAGUCACCGUCGCCCCUAGCGCGCAUCAUUCCUCCGACGAACAACGCCCGGCCGCCCACUGCCGCUCGACGCCCACAAGGUGUUCGACAAAACGCUUGCAAGAAGAAUUUGAUAUUGAGGAGGAGGACCUUGCAAUGAUCCUAGUUAUGCACAUCAAUAAAAAACCGAAGCACAGUGGUUUGAUUAUGGGUGCUCUAAUAACAAAUGGCGGCGCUAGAAUUGGACCGAGCCCCGAGCCGCCCCGGCCCAACUUUGAGCAAUAUUUCCGGCGCUCUCUUUCCCCUGUGGAGUUGGAAGAAUGGCAACGCCUUACUGCCUGCUUCCCCCUGCUCUCGGAGGAAGAGUACUCCGUUUUUUGGCCCCACUCCCCUUCGGGGCGUUUUUCUGUUAAGUCGGCGUAUUCGCUUCUCAUCGCUGGUGUUCGCACUGACAAGUUUAAACUUAUUUGGUCUGCCCGCAUAUCUCCUAAGAUCAAAAUCUUCCUUUGGCAAGCUCUUCGUCGCAAACUUCCUGCGGCUGACCAAAUUAAAAAGAGGAAUGGGCCGGGUUCUGAUAGUUGUCAUCUGUGUGGCGCCCUAGAGGAUACAGAACAUAUCUUCUUCCAGUGCUCUUUGGCAAAAUUCAUUUGGAGUUGCAUUAGACUUUGGCUUCAUGUUCCUUGGAACCCUUCCUCUUUUGCGGAUCUUCGGCGAUGUAUCAAUUCUCUAGCAGGCCGGUCUAAGCGGGUUUUCAUGGUGGGCUGGGCAGCAAUUUGUUGGGCGCUUUGGACUACUAGAAACAAAUAUAGGAGCAGUUUGGUUCAUGUCCUGAACUCCACACCUGGGAAAUUUUGCUACCUGGCCAGGCGUGAGAAUCUGAAAAAAAGUUGCCUGAUUUUUUUGAAACUUUUAAAUACGCUUUUUGAUUUUUUCAAAAUACCAAGCUCACUGGAGCUCGGCCUCCAAAAAUCCGCACUCGCUUGGGACCAGGCUAAUCAUCUUGCCUCGUUUUCCACCAGGCUAACUACGCUGUUUCGUUGUCCAGGCCAUGCGUACUUCCUUUUUUCGUGGACAUCAACCAAACAUGCUGCAGGAAAUUCCAGGCAGCCCCCAGGCCAGGCGUCACCCGCUGUGGACACGAGCCAAACUGCCCCAUAA
rnacentral:rRNA from 1 species